AUAAAGGAUUUCAUUUUUAAUCAGUCUGAGGCUCAUCAGGAGAGCCCCCAGGGCUCCACAAGACAACCGUGGAAUGGGUGAAAUGCCAGUCUUCUCAGGGGAAAGAUAUGGAGCUCACAUUUCCUGCCGUCUGCCAGGGAAGACUUUGGAAGUAAAGAGCCUGCUGUUCUUAUCUACAGAUCCUGGACUUGAGCUGCAACCCCCACCUGGAUUUCCAGCCUCCAGCCAGCCCUGCUCACUUCAGACUGGCCAGCCCCCACAACCCGAACUGAUGGCCCCGGGACACUUGCUGAACUUGCUUCACUAUUGAAAACUUCACUGCACCUUGAGGACAGUUCUGAAAUGACUAGGCUCUUUUGAGUCUUUUUUUUGAGGGGGGCAGUCUGAGCGAAGCUUCACAGCCCCUUUUCAUCAUACAUUAUUUAAACUAAUGAGAGGUUACCUUCCUCCUCCCACUCCUGUAAUCUACCUAUUCCUUCUCCUCCUUUCUCCUCUUAGUUCAUUCGAGGUCUUUAUUCAUGAGCUAGAGGGGGAACUUCUUGGGAAAGGUCAACUCUACGGGAUUUUUGCAAUAGUGUUUCUCUCUUCUCUGCAACUAUCAGAGCCACCCUUUCUAGGUCCCAAGACCAGCACACAAGGAGGGCUUUGCUGUCUGUCUGUGAUCAUGCUUUUCUUUCUUUUUUUUAAUUGAAGUAUUAUUGGCAUAUAACAUUAUGUCAGUUUCAGGUGUACAACAUGGUGAUUUGAUAUUUCUAAACAUUAUGAAAUGAUCAUCAUGAUAAGUCU
rnacentral:lncRNA from 1 species